rnacentral:rRNA from 1 species
AAUAUUGCACAAUGGAGGAAACUCUGAUGCAGCGACGCCGCGUGAGCGAAGAAGGUUUUCGGAUCGUAAAGCUCUGUUGCGAGGGAAGAACAAGUACGGGAGUAACUGCCCGUACCUUGACGGUACCUCGUCAGAAAGCCACGGCCAACUACGUGCCAGCAGCCGCGGUAAUACGUAGGUGGCAAGCGUUGUCCGGAAUUAUGGGGCGUAAAGCGCGCGCAGGCGGUCCUUUAAGUCUGAUGUGAAAGCCCACGGCUCAACCGUGGAGGGUCAUUGGAAACUGGAGGACUUGAGUACAGAAGAGGAAGGCGGAAUUCCACGUGUAGCGGUGAAAUGCGUAGAGAUGUGGAGGAACACCAGUGGCGAAGGCGGCUUUCUGGUCUGUAACUGACGCUGAGGCGCGAAAGCGUGGGGAGCAAACA